UUGCAUGGCUGUCGUCAGCUCGUGUCGUGAGAUGUUCGGUUAAGUCCGCUAACGAGCGCAACCCUCGCUGUAUGUUACAUGUGUCAUACAGGACCGCCGGUAUCAAGCCGGAGGAAGGUGGGGAUGACGUCAAGUCCGCAUGGCCUUUAUGUCCGGGGCUACACACACGCUACAAUGGUCGGUACAAUGGGUUGCUAAGCCGCGAGGUGGAGCCAAUCCCCCAAAGCCGGCCUCAGUUCAGAUUGCAGGCUGCAACUCGCCUGCAUGAAGCUGGAGUUGCUAGUAAACGCGCGUCAGCUAUAGUGCGUUGAAUACGUUCUCGGGCCUU
rnacentral:rRNA from 1 species